GCCAUGCCGCGUGCAGGAAGACGGCCCUCUGGGUUGUAAACUGCUUUUAUUCGGGAAUAAACCUCCUUACGUGUAGGGAGCUGAAUGUACCGAAGGAAUAAGGAUCGGCUAACUCCGUGCCAGCAGCCGCGGUAAUACGGAGGAUCCGAGCGUUAUCCGGAUUUAUUGGGUUUAAAGGGUGCGUAGGCGGCUUAUUAAGUCAGGGGUGAAAGACGGUGGCUCAACCAUCGCAGUGCCCUUGAUACUGAUGAGCUUGAAUACAUUAGAGGUAGGCGGAAUGUGACAAGUAGCGGUGAAAUGCAUAGAUAUGUCACAGAACACCGAUUGCGAAGGCAGCUUACUAUGAUGAGAUUGACGCUGAGGCACGAAAGCGUGGGGAUCAAACAGGAUUAGAUACCCUGGUAGUCCACGCCCUAAACGAUGAAUACUCGCUGUUAGCGAUAUACAGUUAGCGGCUAAGCGAAAGCGUUAAGUAUUCCACCUGGGGAGUACGCCCGCAAGGGUGAAACUCAAAGGA
rnacentral:rRNA from 1 species